CUCACUGAACAAUGAGUGCAA
rnacentral:miRNA from 1 species